rnacentral:rRNA from 1 species
UACGUAGGUGGCAAGCGAUACUCGGAAUCACUAGGCGUAAAGCGCAGGUAGGCGGUUUGGUAAGUCUCUUGUGAAAGCUCCUGGCUCAACUGGGAGAGGUCAAGGGAAACUACCGGACUAGAGUGUGGUAGGGGAUACUGGAAUUCCUGGUGUAGCGGUGAAAUGCGCAGAUAUCAGGAGGAACACCAAUUGCGAAGGCAGCUCGCUGGGACGUAACUGACGCUGAGACGCGAAAGCGUGGGGAGCAAACAGG